rnacentral:rRNA from 1 species
ACGAACGCUGGCGGCAUGCCUAACACAUGCAAGUCGAACGAGACCUUCGGGUCUAGUGGCGCACGGGUGCGUAACGCGUGGGAAUCUGCCCUUGGGUUCGGAAUAACAGUUGGAAACGACUGCUAAUACCGGAUGAUGACGUAAGUCCAAAGAUUUAUCGCCCAAGGAUGAGCCCGCGUAGGAUUAGCUAGUUGGUGAGGUAAAGGCUCACCAAGGCGACGAUCCUUAGCUGGUCUGAGAGGAUGAUCAGCCACACUGGGACUGAGACACGGCCCAGACUCCUACGGGAGGCAGCAGUGGGGAAUAUUGGACAAUGGGCGAAAGCCUGAUCCAGCAAUGCCGCGUGAGUGAUGAAGGCCUUAGGGUUGUAAAGCUCUUUUACCCGGGAUGAUAAUGAUAGUACCGGGAGAAUAAGCUCCGGCUAACUCCGUG